rnacentral:rRNA from 1 species
GACGAACGCUGGCGGCGUGCUUAACACAUGCAAGUCGAACGGAAAGGCCCUGCUUGCAGGGUACUCGAGUGGCGAACGGGUGAGUAACACGUGGGUGAUCUGCCCUGCACUUCGGGAUAAGCCUGGGAAACUGGGUCUAAUACCGGAUAGGAGCCAUUUUUAGUGUGAUGGUUGGAAAGUUUUUUCGGUGUAGGAUGAGCUCGCGGCCUAUCAGCUUGUUGGUGGGGUAAUGGCCUACCAAGGCGGCGACGGGUAGCCGGCCUGAGAGGGUGGCCGGCCCACUUGGGACUGAGAGACGGCCCAGACUCCUACGGGAGGCAGAAGGGGGGAAUAUUGCACAAUGGGCGCAAGCCUGAUGCAGAGACGCCGCGGGGGGGAUGACGGCCUUCGGGUUGUAAACUCCUUUCGCUAGGGACGAAGCUUUUUGUGACGGUACCUAGAUAAGAAGCACCGGCUAACUACGUG